AGAAAACCGUGAUUUGUCACCAAU
rnacentral:snRNA from 1 species